CAGUCGCCACGGUAACACGUAGGGUGCAAGCGUUAAUCGGAAUUACUGGGCGUAAAGCGUGCGCAGGCGGUUUUGUAAGACAGAGGUGAAAUCCCCGGGCUCAACCUGGGACCUGCCUUUGUGACUGCAAGGCUGGAGUGCGGCAGAGGGGGAUGGAAUUCCGCGUGUAGCAGUGAAAUGCGUAGAUAUGCGGAGGAACACCGAUGGCGAAGGCAAUCCCCUGGGCCUGCACUGACGCUCAUGCACGAAAGCGUGGGAAGCAAACAGGAUUAGAUACCCCAGUAGUCCCUGUCUCUUAUAC
rnacentral:rRNA from 1 species